rnacentral:rRNA from 1 species
GUCCACGCCGUAAACGAUGGAUACUAGCUGUUGGGAGCAAUCUCAGUGGCUAAGCGAAAGUGAUAAGUAUCCCACCUGGGGAGUACGUUCGCAAGAAUGAAAACUCAAAAGGAAUUGACGGGGGGCCCCGCACAAGCGGUGGAGCAUGUGGUUUAAUUCGAUGAUACGCGAGGAACCUUACCAAGGCUUAAAUGUAGUUUGACCGAUUUGGAAACAGAUCUUUCGCAAGACAAAAUUACAAAGGUGCUGCAUGGUUGUCGU